UGGGAACCUUCCCUAUGGUUCGGAAUAGCCCAGGGAAACUUGGGGUAAUACCGAAUAAGCCCUUCGGGGAAAGAUUUAUCGCCAUUGGAUGGGCCCGCGUCGGAUUAGCUAGUUGGUGGGUAACGGCCCACCAAGGCGACGAUCCGUAGCUGGUCUGAGAGGAUGAUCAGCCACACUGGGACUGAGACACGGCCCAGACUCCUACGGGAGGCAG
rnacentral:rRNA from 1 species